GACGAACGCUGGCGGCGUGCCUAAUACAUGCAAGUCGAACGCUUUUUCUUUCACCGGAGCUUGCUCCACCGAAAGAAAAAGAGUGGCGAACGGGUGAGUAACACGUGGGUAACCUGCCCAUCAGAAGGGGAUAACACUGGAAACAGGUGCUAAUACCGUAUAACACUAUUUUCCGCAUGGAAGAAAGUUGAAAGGCGCUUUUGCGUCACUGAUGGAUGGACCCGCGGUGCAUUAGCUAGUUGGUGAGGUAACGGCUCACCAAGGCAACGAUGCAUAGCCGACCUGAGAGGGUGAUCGGCCACACUGGGACUGAGACACGGCCCAGACUCCUACGGGAGGCAGCAGUAGGGAAUCUUCGGCAAUGGACGAAAGUCUGACCGAGCAACGCCGCGUGAGUGAAGAAGGUUUUCGGAUCGUAAAACUCUGUGUUAGAGAAGAACAAGGAUGAGAGUAGAACGUUC
rnacentral:rRNA from 1 species